UACGUAGGGUGCAAGCGUUAAUCGGAAUUACUGGGCGUAAAGCGUGCGCAGGCGGUUGUGCAAGACAGAUGUGAAAUCCCCGGGCUUAACCUGGGAAUUGCAUUUGUGACUGCACGGCUAGAGUGUGUCAGAGGGGGGUAGAAUUCCACGUGUAGCAGUGAAAUGCGUAGAUAUGUGGAGGAAUACCGAUGGCGAAGGCAGCCCCCCUGGGAUAACACUGACGCUCAUGGCACGAAAGCGUGGGGAGCAAACAGG
rnacentral:rRNA from 1 species